rnacentral:lncRNA from 1 species
AGCCGCGCCGCCGCGUCGUCCUCCCCUUCGCCGGUGGACAGACGGCCAGGAGCCGUAGAGGAAUCGCCGUCGCCGGAGACAUCCCAGGUAAAACCCUAACUUCUUUCAUUUUCCCCUUCUUUCCUUUUUAAAUUAAAACUGAAAUCCCUCUCUUCUUUUUCCCUUUGGCAGAACGGAACCACGGCAGGUUCACCGCCGCCGCUCCGUCGCCGGCGACGAGCCACCGCGGCUGCCGCCUCCCUCUGAUCUCGACUCACACACACACAGCAGGGUCAAGCUCUUAUUCAGUUUAAAAAAAGACAUAGAGAAAUUAGCACAAAUUCAAUUACUAAACUGUAUACUCUUUGUAUUUUCUUUAAAAGUCUGUAAUUUAAGCAAAUCAUUGUAUCCUUGCAUGUAUAUCUGUAAUAGGUUUCAAAGAAAAAGUAUACACGCAUAUAAGAAUUACUAAGCAAUUGUGUGUGUGGGUUGAAACCGUGAAGUAGGCAUAGAAUGAAAGAUGCAAAACCUUCAAUAUUGGAAUUUGAUUUGUAUUUCUGCGAAAUC